rnacentral:rRNA from 1 species
GACGAACGCUGGCGGCGUGCUUAACACAUGCAAGUCGAACGGUAAGGCCCUUCGGGGUACACGAGUGGCGAACGGGUGAGUAACACGUGGGUGAUCUGCCCUGCACUUCGGGAUAAGCCUGGGAAACUGGGUCUAAUACCGGAUAGGACCACUUCCUGCAUGGGUGGUGGUGGAAAGCUUUUGCGGUGUGGGAUGGGCCCGCGGCCUAUCAGCUUGUUGGUGGGGUGAUGGCCUACCAAGGCGACGACGGGUAGCCGGCCUGAGAGGGUGACCGGCCACACUGGGACUGGGAUACGGCCCAGACUCCUACGGGAGGCAGCUGUGGGGAAUAUUGCACAAUGGGCGCAAGCCUGAUGCAGCGACGCCGCGUGAGGGAUGACGGCCUUCGGGUUGUAAACCUCUUUCAGCACCGACGAAGCGCAAGUGACGGUAGGUGCAGAAGAAGGACCGGCCAACUACGUGCCAGCCGCCGCCGUAAUAC